rnacentral:rRNA from 1 species
CCUACGGGUGGCAGCAGUGGGGAAUAUUGCGCAAUGGGCGAAAGCCUGACGCAGCGACGCCGCGUGAGGGAUGAAGGUCUUCGGAUCGUAAACCUCUGUCAGCAGGGAAGAACGGUCACUGUGCUAAUCAGCAGUGAAUUGACGGUACCUGCAAAGGAAGCACCGGCUAACUCCGUGCCAGCAGCAGCGGUAAUACGGAGGGUGCGAGCGUUAAUCGGAAUUACUGGGCGUAAAGCGCGCGUAGGCGGUAUUGCAAGUCAAGGGUGAAAUCCCCGCGCUCAACGUGGGAACUGCCUUUGAAACUGGCAAACUGGAGUGUGUGAGAGGAUAGUGGAAUUCCAGGUGUAGGAGUGAAAGCCGUAGAUAUCUGGAGGAACAUCAGUGGCGAAGGCGACUAUCUGGCACAUAACUGACGCUGAGGAGCGAAAGCGUGGGUAGCAAACAGGAUUAGAUACCCCUGUAGUC